rnacentral:rRNA from 1 species
AGGUUGACCUCGGAUCAGGUAGGGAUACCCGCUGAACUUAAGCAUAUCAAUAAGCGGAGGAAAAGAAACCAACCGGGAUUGCCUCAGUAACGGCGAGUGAAGCGGCAAGAGCUCAAAUUUGAAAUCUGGCCCCCUCGGGGUCCGAGUUGUAAUUUGUAGAGGAUGCUUCGGGUGCGGCCCCUGUCGAAGUGNCCUGGAACGGGCCGUCNGAGAGGGUGAGANUCCCGUCUGGGAUGGGGUGCCCGCGCCCGNGUGAAGCUCCCUCGACGAGU